rnacentral:rRNA from 1 species
UACGAAGGGGGCUAGCGUUGCUCGGAAUCACUGGGCGUAAAGGGUGCGUAGGCGGGUCUUUAAGUCAGGGGUGAAAUCCUGGAGCUCAACUCCAGAACUGCCUUUGAUACUGAGGAUCUUGAGUUCGGGAGAGGUGAGUGGAACUGCGAGUGUAGAGGUGAAAUUCGUAGAUAUUCGCAAGAACACCAGUGGCGAAGGCGGCUCACUGGCCCCGAUACUGACGCUGAGGCACGAAAGCGUGGGGAGCAAACAGG